AAGAAUUUAAGUUAAAAAAACUAUUAGCCUUCAAAGCCAAAAUUAGAACCAAUUCUAAUUCUUA
rnacentral:tRNA from 1 species